rfam:Hordeum vulgare subsp. vulgare, WGS project CAJW01000000 data, contig: morex_contig_39991
AUCAUACUCCUUCUUUUCGAAAAUAUUUGUCGAAGAAAUGAAUGUAUCUAGACGUAUUUUAAUUUUACAUACAUUCAUUUUUAUUCAUUUUGGUGACAGAUAUUUCCGGACAAAGAGGGUACAUG